rnacentral:rRNA from 1 species
AGCGAACGCUGGCGGCAGGCCUAACACAUGCAAGUCGAGCGCCCCGCAAGGGGAGCGGCAGACGGGAGAGUAACACGUGGGAACGUACCCUUCGGUUCGGAACAACCCAGGGAAACUUGGGCUAAUACCGGAUACGUCCGAAAGGAGAAAGAUUUAUCGCCGAGGGAUCGGCCCGCGUCUGAUUAGCUGGUUGGUGGGGUAACGGCCCACCAAGGCGACGAUCAGUAGCUGGUCUGAGAGGAUGAUCAGCCUCACUGGGACUGAGACACGGCCCAGACUCCUACGGGAGGCAGCAGUGGGGAAUAUUGGACAAUGGGCGCAAGCCUGAUCCAGCCAUGCCGCGUGGGUGAUGAAGGCCCUAGGGUUGUAAAGCCCUUUCGGCGGGGAAGAUAAUGACGGUACCCGCAGAAGAAGCCCCGGCUAACUUCGUGCCAGCCGCCGCAGUAAAAC